rnacentral:SRP_RNA from 1 species
GCUGAGUUGGGUAGCUCCAACUUGUGACCCAAGCGGGGGCAACAAGGUGAUGGAACACGGCUUUGGCUUAUCAGGUUGGGCUGGUAGCUGCACUAUGCUGGUCUGCCCACUCCAAGUUGAGAGUUGAGUCAUGGGAUUUGGGCGAAGGCUUGGGUCUCUUGUCUCCUAGACUGGAGGGUACAGCGUGAGGCUGGACUCACAGAGCAGCGAAUACCUCCGGCUCUUGACAGUGGAGGGAUUACAGGCUGCUGCAAUACUAGCCCACAAAGCCUGCUGAGCAUAGCCCGUUGGACCAUCAUUUUU